UACAGAGGGUGCGAGCGUUGUCCGGAAUCACUGGGCGUAAAGGGCGCGUAGGUGGCGGGCCAAGUCUGUGGUGAAAGCUCGAUGCUCAACAUCGAGUCGGCCACGGAUACUGGUUCGCUGGAGCACUGUAGAGGCAGAUGGAAUUCCGGGUGUAGCGGUGGGAAUGCGUAGAGAUCGGAAGAACACCGGUGGCGAAGGCGGUCUGCUGGGCAGUUGCUGACACUGAGGCGCGCAGCGUGGGGGAGCAAACAGG
rnacentral:rRNA from 1 species